GGGGAGGCGGGUGCUAUACAUGCAAGUCGAGCGAACAGAGAAGGAGCUUGCUCCUUUGACGUUAGCGGCGGACGGGUGAGUAACACGUGGGCAACCUACCUUAUAGUUUGGGAUAACUCCGGGAAACCGGGGCUAAUACCGAAUAAUCUGUUUCACCUCAUGGUGAAAUAUUGAAAGACGGUUUCGGCUGUCGCUAUAGGAUGGGCCCGCGGCGCAUUAGCUAGUUGGUGAGGUAACGGCUCACCAAGGCGACGAUGCGUAGCCGACCUGAGAGGGUGAUCGGCCACACUGGGACUGAGACACGGCCCAGACUCCUACGGGAGGCAGCAGUAGGGAAUCUUCCACAAUGGGCGAAAGCCUGAUGGAGCCUCGC
rnacentral:rRNA from 1 species